UACGUAGGCAGCAAGCGUUGUUCGGAAUUACUGGGCGUAAAGCGAGUGUAGGCGGUCUGCCAAGUCCUCUGUGAAAUCUCCCGGCUUAACUGGGAGGGUGCGGCGGAAACUGGCAGGCUUGAGUGCGGGAGAGGAGAGUGGAAUUCCUGGUGUAGCGGUGAAAUGCGUAGAUAUCAGGAGGAACACCGGUGGUGAAGACGGCUCUCUGGACCGCCACUGACGC
rnacentral:rRNA from 1 species